GGUAUUUUUUUUUUUUUUUUGUACUGCGCUACAUAAAUAAUCACACCGUUUACUUCAAUAAAAUACACACAAUGAUUAAAUUGCCGACGUAUAAAAUGGGACGAGUUGAGAUAGUGCAUAUAUGCGUGUGUGCCAUUAAUUCAGUUUCAGAUCCAGAGGGAUUUAUGAACAAUGUCAAGUUCCCUCUGAAGAACUGAGUCUCUUCACUGCCUCUUAAGGCUUAAUGCACCCUGACUGAGUGGCACAGCGAGAGGCACACUUUCUCUCUAUGUGCUGCAGAUAAUACUAAGAACAACCUCUCAAUUCCUGCUCUCCUCCACACCUAAUGUGCCCUCCGUCCUCCACUAUGUGCACGACGGGCCCAUUUCCAUUUGGGGUAGACGGCUGGGAAAUAAAAGAAGAAAAAGAAAGAGGGACCGUAAUGGAAAAUGCUGACAUCGACUCUAAUGGUUUCCCAUUCCAGGGGUGUUUUCACACAUAUGUAAAUUUAUGUAAACCCAACACAGAAACACAUAUUUACAAUAGCACAGGGUAAUCACUAUAUGAGGACACGGCGCACUGGCCUUGGAGAUGGAGGCGCCAUGUGUCAUUAGUCUCCUUUAUCUCUUUUCCGUUGUCUGCUGUGGCAUCACUGCAUAAACCAUCUUGAAUAUGAAUAAAAACGAUCUUCACUCGUGUGCCGCUCAGUGAUGAGGACGUGGAGAGGAAAAAGAAAGAGGUUUUGUGUCUUUGAAAGCACACAGGUGUCUUGAAAAUGCAUACCUUCAUUAAAAAUGACUGUAACAUUAACUGAGCUGCAGGCUUUACUGUAAAACAGCCUUUUCAAAGAAAAAUUCAACUUUAUUCUCAUUCAUUUGAUUACAUAAAAUAUUUAAAUUACAAAAACACUCAUAUUAUUUUCAAAUCUGUACUCAUUUUUACAAUGCGUUACACGUUAUUUGCUGUGUUUACUUACGCAUUGGGGUAAGUUUUCAAUUAUCUUUUGGUUAUGCCCAAGUGUGAGCCAUCAAACACACUUUGAGAUGGAAAAACAGAACAAAAACCUAAUUUUUCCGAGUCUAAUUAACACUAAAUUGUGAAUCUAAAAUCCUUGUUAUGUUUAUAAUAAUCAGCAUAUUUAUGGGCAGAAAUAUCUAUGGUGAAAAACUCAUGAAGAAAACUUUACAUUUGAGAAAAAUUGAUCAAAAUUAGCGUGUUUAACAGUGGUUGCACAUGAUUUAUUAACAGACUGAGUAGACUUUUAUAGCUCCAAAAAUAAAAAAGUGACAGUUCAUUCAUUACUCUAAAGGAGAAUGACCAUGCCGUUC